AUUGUUUCAACAUGAAGGUUUGUAAUAAAAAUUUGUUUCUAUCAGCAUUGCUUUGCAUUGCUAUUGCAGGAGUUUUGGGUCAAGCUCCUAGUAAUCCUCCUACGUCUACGCCGGCGCCACCCACACCACCGGCUUCUACUCCUCCUCCGACGACUCAACCACCGCCUACACCAACCGCCACUCCGCCACCAGUUUCUACUCCUCUUCCCACUUCAUCACCGCCCCCAGUGACAGCUUCUCCACCCCCAGUUUCAACUCCUCCACCCAGUUCUCCUCCUCCCGCAACUCCACCACCUGCUUCUCCACCUCCUGCAACUCCACCUCCAGCUUCUCCACCUCCUGCAACUCCACCUCCAGCUUCUCCACCUCCCGCCACUCCUCCACCAGCAACCCCCCCACCUGCAACUCCUCCUGCUACCCCACCACCAGCUCCAUUGGCUUCUCCUCCAGCCACAGUCCCAGCUAUCUCUCCAGUACAAACACCAUUGACCUCGCCACCAGCUCCGCCGAC
rnacentral:lncRNA from 1 species